UUGAACGCUGGCGGCAUGCUUUACACCUGCCAGUCGAACGGUAACAGGCCGCAAGGUGCUGACGAGUGGCGAACGGGUGAGUAAUGCAUCGGAACGUGCCCAGUCGUGGGGGAUAACUACUCGAAAGAGUAGCUAAUACCGCAUACGAUCUAUGGAUGAAAGCGGGGGACCGUAAGGCCUCGCGCGAUUGGAGCGGCCGAUGUCAGAUUAGGUAGUUGGUGGGGUAAAGGCUCACCAAGCCAACGAUCUGUAGCUGGUCUGAGAGGACGACCAGCCACACUGGGACUGAGACACGGCCCAGACUCCUACGGGAGGCAGCAGUGGGGAAUUUUGGACAAUGGGCGCAAGCCUGAUCCAGCAAUGCCGCGUGCAGGAAGAAGGCCUUCGGGUUGUAAACUGCUUUUGUACGGAACGAAACGGCUCUGGUUAAUACCCGGGGCUAAUGACGGUACCGUAAGAAUAAGCACCGGCUAACUACGUG
rnacentral:rRNA from 1 species